AGUGAACGCUGGCGGUAGGCCUAACACAUGCAAGUCGAACGGCAGCACAGUAAGAGCUUGCUCUUACGGGUGGCGAGUGGCGGACGGGUGAGGAAUACAUCGGAAUCUACUUUUUCGUGGGGGAUAACGUAGGGAAACUUACGCUAAUACCGCAUACGACCUACGGGUGAAAGCAGGGGAUCUUCGGACCUUGCGCGAUUGAAUGAGCCGAUGUCGGAUUAGCUAGUUGGCGGGGUAAAGGCCCACCAAGGCGACGAUGCGUAGCUGGUCUGAGAGGAUGAUCAGCCACACUGGAACUGAGACACGGUCCAGACUCCUACGAGAGGCAGCAGUGGGGAAUAUUGGACAAUGGGCGCAAGCCUGAUCCAGCCAUACCGCGUGAGUGAAGAAGGCCUUCGGGUUGUAAAGCCCUUUUGUUGGGAAAGAAAAGCAGCAGGUUAAUACCCCGCUGUUCUGACGGUACCCAAAGAAUAAGCACCGGCUAACUUCGUG
rnacentral:rRNA from 1 species